GCCGACCUGAGAGGGUGAUCGGCCACACUGGGACUGAGACACGGCCCAGACUCCUACGGGAGGCAGCAGUAGGGAAUCUUCAGCAAUGGGGGAAACCCUGACCGAGCAACGCCGCGUGAGUGAAGAAGGUUUUCGGAUCGUAAAGCUCUGUUGUAAGAGAAGAACGUGUGUGAGAGUGGAAAGUUCACACAGUGACGGUAACUUACCAGAAAGGGACGGCUAACUACGUGCCAGCAGCCGCGGUAAUACGUAGGUCCCGAGCGUUGUCCGGAUUUAUUGGGCGUAAAGCGAGCGCAGGCGGUUUAAUAAGUCUGAAGUUAAAGGCAGUGGCUCAACCAUUGUUCGCUUUGGAAACUGUUAGACUUGAGUGCAGAAGGGGAGAGUGGAAUUCCAUGUGUAGCGGUGAAAUGCAUAGAUAUAUGGAGGAACACCGGUGGCGAAAGCGGCUCUCUGGUCUGUAACUGACGCUGAGGCUCGAAAGCGUGGGGAGCAAACAGGAUUAGAUACCCUGGUAUCCACGGCCGUAAACGAUGAGUGCUAGGUGUUAGGCCCUUUCCGGGGCUUAGUGCCGCAGCUAACGCAUUAAGCACUCCGCCUGGGGAGUACGACCGCAAGGUUGAAACUCAAAGGAAUUGACG
rnacentral:rRNA from 1 species